UACAGAGGUGGCAAGCGUUGUUCGGAAUCACUGGGCGUAAAGGGCGCGUAGGCGGCUCAUGAAGGCUGUGGUGAAAGUCCGGGGCUCAACCUCGGAUCGGCCGUGGCGACUCGUGGGCUGGAGCACUGUAGAGGCGGGUGGAAUUCCGGGUGUAGCGGUGGAAUGCGUAGAGAUCCGGAAGAACACCAGUGGCGAAGGCGGCCCGCUGGGCAGUGGCUGACGCUGAGGCGCGACAGCGUGGGGAGCAAACAGG
rnacentral:rRNA from 1 species